AGUAGGUAAUAUGAUAUCCGUCAAAGAUUUUGUAUGUAUUUCUUAUAACAAUGGGAACGGAUCUCCUCUACUGUUUAAACAAUUCUAACCUAAUUUGCUUUCAGUACCGUAUUAGCAGUACAAAGAGUUUUAAUUGCAAGGAUCAAGAAACGGACCUCUUUUUAACCAUAUGCAUGUGUAUAUUUUAGUAUUUUGAUCUCAAAUGCAUAUGAUUGAAGUGGUAUUUAUGCGCGUUAAGACAAAAAUCUCAAACGAAAUAAAUUGGGAAGGGAAACAAAAUUUCACAUACACCUGCCUGCAUUUACUUUUACCCAAUGUUUCAGUACUUCCGCGCUAGCCACCGCGUCCUAUCAAGACCUUAUUGCAAUCACUGCUGCUGUUGCCACUAUUGAUGAUAUUGCUGCUGCAAGCUCCUUUCGUAUCCACUGUUUGUAAUUGCAGGUAACCAAUAUUACUAACUUUAUAUAGCAGUAAUACUUCCG